AUAAGUAGGCGGUUUUAAUAGUAUCAAGGNAGGUACAGCGAUGUAAUCUUAAUACUCGGUUUAAUAAAUUUUGUAUUAUUGCGGGGGCCUAAGAAUCCUACAAUUAAGUAUUUGUACUCGAAAGGGCUUUGAUAAAUAUUGAACUGUCAGACAUAGUACGAUAAGGUUGUAUGUCUAAAGGGAAACAGCCCAGAACAAGAGUUAAUAAGGUUCCUAAAUUAUUGUUAAGUGAAAUAAAGGUAGUUUUUAUCCUAUUCGGUUAGGAAGUGGGCUUAGGAGCGGCCAUCUUUUAAAGACCUCGUAACAGAGCACUCGCUAUUAUAAAUUAGAUAAAGGCGCCUAAGAUUUAACGGAUCUAAACAAUAUACCGAAACCUUGUCCAUAUAUAAUUAUAUAUGGGGUAGUAGAACAUAGGGUAAGCAUUAGACUUAUUUCUUUUUAAGAAUAACAAUUAGACGACCCUAGAGAGAAUGCUGGCAUGAGUAACGAUAAAGGUAUAAAAAACCUCGCCUUAAGCUUAUGGAUUUUUCACAAUGUAACGGCCACUAAGUUUUAAUUCUAAAGAGUUAAACGAUGACAAGAACAAAAUAAUAAGAUAAACAACCUUAUUUAGUGAAUAAGGUUCAGGAAAAACUUAUUAUUAUUAUUUCUACCGUACCUAAAGUCUAUCACCAGUAAGCUAGUAGAGAAUACGAAGGCGUUUGAGUGAACAAUUAUAAAGGAACUCGAUUUUU
rnacentral:rRNA from 1 species